CACGUAGGGCGCAAGCGUUGUCCGGAAUUAUUGGGCGUAAAGAGCUCGUAGGCGGUCUGUUGCGUCCGCUGUGAAAACUCGGGGCUUAACCCCGAGCCUGCAGUGGAUACGGGCAGACUAGAGGUGAGUAGGGGAGAAUGGAAUUCCCGGUGUAGCGGUGAAAUGCGCAGAUAUCGGGAGGAACACCGGUGGCGAAGGCGGUUCUCUGGGCCUUACCUGACGCUGAGGAGCGAAAGCGUGGGGAGCGAACAGG
rnacentral:rRNA from 1 species